rnacentral:sRNA from 1 species
UCAUUGCGUUAGGGAUAGCAACGGCAUCCUUUUUUGGGUAAGAUGUAUGCCCAAAAAAGAUAUAGUGAAUAGCCCGCCCCGCA